rnacentral:rRNA from 1 species
CCUACGGGAGGCAGCAGUGGGGAAUAUUGCGCAAUGGGCGAAAGCCUGACGCAGCAACGCCGCGUGGGGGAUGAAUGCCUUCGGGUUGUAAACCCCUUUCAGCAGGGACGAAAAUGACGGUACCUGCAGAAGAAGCCCCGGCCAACUACGUGCCAGCAGCCGCGGUAACACGUAGGGGGCAAGCGUUGUCCGGAUUUAUUGGGCGUAAAGAGCUCGUAGGCGGCUGCGUAAGUCGGAUGUGAAAACUCAGGGCUCAACCCGGAGACGCCAUCCGAUACUGCGCUGACUAGAGUCCGGUAGAGGAGCAUGGAAUUCCUGGUGUAGCGGUGAAAUGCGCAGAUAUCAGGAGGAACACCAGUGGCGAAGGCGGUGCUCUGGGCCGGUACUGACGCUGAGGAGCGAAAGCGUGGGUAGCGAACAGGAUUAGAUACCCUGGUAGUCCACGCCGUAAACGUUGGGCACUAGGUGUGGGGCCUCCUUAACGGGUUCCGUGCCGUAGCUAACGCAUUAAGUGCCCCGCCUGGGGAGUACNGCCGCAAGGCUAAAACUCAAAGGAAUUGACGG